rnacentral:rRNA from 1 species
UACGUAGGGGGCAAGCGUUGUCCGGAAUCAUUGGGCGUAAAGAGCGUGUAGGCGGCCAGAUAAGUCCGCUGUGAAAACUCGAGGCUCAACUUCGAGCUGUCGGUGGAAACUAUUUGGCUAGAGUCCGGAAGAGGAGAGUGGAAUUCCAGGUGUAGCGGUGAAAUGCGUAGAUAUUGGGAAGAACACCGGUGGCGAAGGCGGCUCACUGGCUCGUAUCUGACGCUCAGGCGCGACAGCGUGGGGAUCAAACAGG